CACACACACACACACACACACACUGCAGCUUUCUCACAUACACACUGCCCCACACAUACACUGCCCCCUAACACACACACUGCAACCCUGACAUACACUUCCGCCCUCACACACUCGCACACACUUCACCGCUCACACACACUCACACACACAUUGUACCUUUCACCCCUAACACAUACCACUGCUCCUAUGCCCUAUAUCCCAGCAGACCCCAGGUAAGUUGUCAAACUGUUCUUAAACGGUUUGACUACUUACUCUGGGAUGGGAUCCUGGCACUACUGACACCAUAACUACUACACUAAGCUUUAG